AGCUUGUCAAUGAUGUUUCUCUUUAAAAAUGUCUGAACAUAUGAGUUCCAUAGUGAUUUUGACUUGGAACUGAGAUAAGCU
ensembl:snoRNA SNORD72 small nucleolar RNA, C/D box 72